GAUGAUCAGGCUCCAGGAAAAUAACCCGCAGAAUCUGUUCAACUGCAACUUGAUCCCUUUGCUCAUCAAACAGCUCUGGUACAUAAUCCAUGUCACCUUUUACUUUCAAGCUCAUGAUCUUGAACUUGACCCUGCUCUUUAGACCAUCCAGCUUGUCAUUGGACUCUGGAGGCUCCAAAAACUUGAAAAUAUUUCUUAGAGAUGACUUCUAUUUUGAACUUAAAAUAGAAGUCAUGUUUUUUGGAGUAUAUAUGCUUGCUUUUAGUGGUCAACUUUAGUGUUUUCUGAUCUGUAUUUUCUGAUCUGUAUUUAGCCUCAGCCUCAGCUUAGGGGAAAAAAUUGUUCAAAAUUUUUGCCUUGUCAUCAUGAAUCCCCUAGAUUAAUUGCAUCAUCUGCCUCUUGGCCCGCUUGGGAAGGACUUGCUACUUCCCAACCAUUUUUUGCACAAAACCCAACUACGGCUGGACUUGGUAGGGGGAGAGUUGAACAAAAAUUGACCAGCGGUUGGAAAAUUUUGGUUGUUGUCAUUGGUAGUGUAAAAUGUUGACCAUACUUUCUGCUUCUUUCCCUCAUUAGACAAACCUACUCAACAAACUUAGAAAACAUUAAAUUAGAUGUGUUUUGCCACUAGUUUUUGGGGUUGAUUUAGUUUAUCCAGCAAGCUAAUUGGAGCUUUUGUAUGGGUACGCCGAAUUGGAACAGAUGGGAUGUUAUGUGCUUGAUCUGACCCUAUUUUUUUCCCUCAAAUUCAAUCUGAUUGAGUAGGCUGGGUAUGUAUCAUAUGGAGGGGUUGUUCAUGACUUGAAAUCUCCUUUGGUUAUUCUUUUUCAAACUUGGGAGUUGAUGUUGUGUAGUUUGAGAUGUAUAAUUUUAGGACUAGCUCAAUAGCAACUUAUGCAAAGGCUGGAGAACUGACAAGCUGAAAUGCAAAACCAACAAAUUGAAAUGCAAGACCUUCUUAAGGCUUUGAAAGUUGAAUUGCAGUCUAGGAAGUAGGGCAAUGAGAGUAUAUCUGGCAAUGAUAAAUGGCUUUGUAUCAAGAAACUUUAGCAUGAAUGCCUCUCCAAACAAUUUUACCUUAAAGAAAGGAAAUGGAGACUCUGCACAGGAACAAAAGCACAGCUUCUUUUGAGCACUAAUGCAGAACUUCCCUCAUUUGGAGGUGGAACCAGCUGAAGAUUGAUGGGGACUUCGUGGUUAUGACUGAAAGCUCUCAUUUCAUUGUAAAGUUUGGAAGCUACUGUUAGUUCUUUCAACUUGUUAGGGAUGAGAAUCUUUUAGUUUGUGCACAAGAAAGUAUUUCAAGUUUGUGUACAUGAGAAUGUUUUAGUACUUGUUUGGGAUUUUAAUAUUUGCUACGUUUGUACUUGUUACCGACUUUUAAUUUAAUGAAUUAUAUUUGAGUA